rnacentral:lncRNA from 1 species
UGGCAAUUGAUUAGUGUUAAUCAUUAAAUCUAUUUUGACACAAGGUUUUAUAUAUAAUUAGAUCAGUUUUCCACUUUAUUACAAUUAAGAAAUGAGUAAAAUAUGGAUAUAAAAGGAGAAUUGGAUUGAAAAGACAAAUACACAUUUACAAGGUCAUACCUUUGGUAGGACAGACAAUUCCAUAUAGAAUAUUCUCUUUUGAUAAUGAAAAAAAUUAAAGAGAGCACAAACUUUGACUAUGUCAAAGUAUUUUUAUUUUUAAUUUUUUGAGACAAGGUCUUGCUCUGCUACCCAGGCUGGAGUGCAGUGGUGCAAUCACAACUCACUGUAGCCUGAACUUCGGGGCUCAAGUGAUCCGCCCGCCUCAGCCUCCCAAAGGGCUGGGAUUACAGGCGUGAGCCACUGUGCCUGGCCCCAAGUUUUGCAUCUUUUAAUGCCCUCUGAACAAAUACAUAGAGAAAACUCUCAGAACAAUUAAAACCUGCAGAGCAACAGUGUCCUCCAUGUCUUAGGUUUCAAGUUUGCCUCUAAAAUUCUAAUCCAUAUUUUUCUACUUCUCAGAUAAUUUAUGUGUGUGUACUCUUCCUAGACGUACAAGAGACUUUUUAAUGCUAAAUAUUUGUCAGUGCUUAACAAAAACUCAAUUUCACAUUACUCAUAUUGUUUUUGUUUUAAUUGAAUGUGAAUUAAAUUUUUAUUAGUUAUUUGAUUUGGAAUGUUAUGUAUGCCAUUAACACUAUUAGGGGAAUCUCUAGCAUUUCUGUAUUUUUAAAGAAUUUGAUUCUUUUGUAGAUUCUGCCUGUGUGGUCAUUUUAAAACAUGUGUGACAUAUAUCAGUACCUUCAUUCUUCUAUAUUUUGUGUCUCCUCCAACCUCCAACUUUUUUUGUUUUUUGAAAAAUGUUUCUCUAACACCUCAACAGUUUAAGGUAAUUUAGUACACAUAUAUCAGUAUUUUUGUGAUCUGAAAAAGCAACCCAUUUUCUAAAUUCAUAUUUUUCCUAAAACUUUACUAUGUUUUUAUUUUAAGAGGUUUCCUGUUAUAUACACUUUUUACACAUGCAAAUAAACUUUAUACCAAGUGAGU